AGAGAGAAUGUGUAUAUGUGACUUUUUGACUGAUAAAAAGAGCCCGCAAUUUUGAAUGAUGAAAAGUGCCCGUGUAUUUCCUAGACGGAGAGGUUCGGGUAAACCGCUGAACCACUUUGAUGCUUGGGAUUGUGAACUGAAACUGUUCACAUGAACUUGGAAUUCCCAGUAAAUGUGAGUCAUUAACUUACAUUGAUUACGUCCCUGCUCUUUGUACACACCGCCCGUCGCUACUACCGAUUGAAUUAUUUAGUGAGGUCUCCGGACGUGAUCACUGUAACGCAUUUUAUGUGUUGCUGAUGUUUCGCAAAAGUUGACCGAACUUGAUUAUUUAGAGGAAGUAAAAGUCGUAACAAGGUUUCCGUAGGUGAACCUGCGGAAG
rnacentral:rRNA from 1 species